rnacentral:tRNA from 1 species
CGCCGGCUUGGCCUUGGCGGCGUCGCCGCUGGCGACGGUGAACGACUUGUCGCUCCAGUAGAUCUUCACGAUCGCCGGCGC